rnacentral:rRNA from 1 species
UACGUAGGUGGCAAGCGUUGUCCGGAUUUAUUGGGGUUAAAGGGUGCGUAGGUGGUCUAUUAAGUCAGUGCUGAAAUAUCCCGGCUUAACCGGGAGGGUGGCAUUGAUACUGAUGGACUUGAGUAAAGUUGAGGUAGGCGGAAUUGACGGUGUAGCGGUGAAAUGCUUAGAUAUCGUCAAGAACACCGAUAGUGAAGACAGCUUACUAGACUUCAACUGACGCUGAGGCACGAAAGUGUGGGGAUCAAACAGG